AAGCCAGGGUAGCUCAGCUGGUUAGAGCGGCGGAAUCAUAACCCGCAGGUCGUGAGUUCGAGUCUCAC
rnacentral:tRNA from 1 species